GACGAACGCUGGCGGCGUGCCUAAUACAUGCAAGUCGAACGAGAGCACCCGGUGCUUGCACUGGUCAAUCUAGUGGCGAACGGGUGAGUAACACGUGGGUAACCUGCCCAUCAGAGGGGGAUAACAUCCGGAAACGGAUGCUAAAACCGCAUAGGUCUUCGAACCGCAUGGUUUGAAGAGGAAAAGAGGCGCAAGCUUCUGCUGAUGGAUGGACCCGCGGUGCAUUAGCUAGUUGGUGAGGUAACGGCUCACCAAGGCCGUGAUGCAUAGCCGACCUGAGAGGGUGAUCGGCCACAUUGGGACUGAGACACGGCCCAAACUCCUACGGGAGGCAGCAGUAGGGAAUCUUCCGCAAUGGACGCAAGUCUGACGGAGCAACGCCGCGUGAGUGAAGGAGGUUUUCGGAUCGUAAAACUCUGUUGUUAGAGAAGAACAAGUGCUAGAGUAACUGUUAGCGCCUUGACGGUAUCUAACCAGAAAGCCACGGCUAACUACGUG
rnacentral:rRNA from 1 species